UGUGCUCUGGUGCGUAAACAUUCAUGAAAAACAGUCUGUUUCUUAGAGGUGUUUACUCCCGAUCUAAUUGGCAAUAAAUGAUGGGACGAUCCCAUUUAACCAAAAGUGAAUAAUUACACUACAGAAAAGAAGAAAAAAAAAGAUGCGACGAUGCUCACUGUUUGUUUGGAACAACAACAACAAAAAAAGCAGAACCUCCGCAUUUCAAGCCCUUAAUGCACUUACGUAUGUAUAGAAGUUCCUCUAUUUACAGUAAAUGAUACUUGUUUAUGGUAAGUUUUUCUCAAAAAUGUCUCACCCAAAGCAAACUUUUUGCGUCCUAAAAAAAACAUGUCCAAUAUAAUUGCCGUUGUGCUGACUUGAUUUUUUUUAUUAUGUCGCGUCAGUUGAAUUCAUGCUGCUGAGAGCGGACAAAACCAAAUAAAGUUGCAAUAAGCGUCUCAACUUAUGUGAAGUGAGUGUCUCGAGCAUGUGCACGCCGUUGCAGCUUUGGAAGUUUUCGUUUGGGAUGAAAGCGUGUAAAUUUGAGGUGGAAGAGUGUUGAGAUCGGUAAUGGAAAGAGGAAGGGAGAAAGGCAGGACAGCAGCCUCCACGGGCGGCUGCAGUCGGCGCCGCCGUCGCCGUUGGAAACCCCGCUGGCAGGUGUCUACUCCGGUGUCGCCUUCAGCGUUACUUCCACUGAGGGGGUGAAACAUGCAGAGGAGUUGGAGGAAAAGCCAAAGUCUUACCUGUGUGGACUUUGCCGUCCUGUCGUCACUUGAAACUACAAGCAACCCUUGCGCCUUGACGGCGAGUCGCUCGGAAGAUAUGCCCUGGGACCAACUCAAAGUGGGAAGAGGAGUCCUUAAUUGAGUUUGUCGCUUCAAAGGUGUGACUUGGAAAAAGUGGUCUGGACUCUCUCCGACUUUGACGACUGCACGGUUUCCCAACUCGGGACAGGGAUUUUCCGAUUUCGUUGAUUUUCUACCCACUUUUGCGCUGUAGAAGUUGAGAACGAUGAGAAAGUAAUAGGAUGAAAAUUUGCCUUUCAAAUCAUAUUGACUUAAUAUUCGCAAAUAUCACUACGAUUGCUUAUGUCGUCUGUGUCAUCCAGAGCACCCUAAGAAAGUAAGAUGAACAUGUCAACAGCAUGUGCAACAAAUUCAUAACUCUGUGCCCUUCCUAGUUCAAAUAUCACUCAAUUUAUUCAUAUUAUGGCUUCCUCAAUACAAUGAAUUGAAAUGCCAUACUUCCUUUCCAGCAUGAGAAAGUCACUCCAAUUUUCAUCACGUUUUUGUUAAAGAAAACACAAAACACCGUAUAGUAAAAUACAAACAGAACAACAUAAUAAAAACAUACAAAAUAAAGACGUUAACCGCCUUCAGAAAGUGCAAUUAAAGCAAACGUCUCGCUCCCUCUUUCUCUCUCUCUUUCUCGCGCACACACACGCCCCCACACACUCGCUGCAAGCACACACGCGCACGCACACGCACACUCUUCAAGUGCGGUCAAGUGAAUCGUGUGACGUCAGGAGCCGCAGUCACACGGGUAGUCUAGCCUUAGCAAAUUCUCCAUCCUUGCAGUUUUCAUUUUGAGUCUGUGUUUUUUACUGAUUGUCACCUUUCAUAAAGUGCGUUAGUGACAUUUUUCACUGCACUCCAGCAGUGGCAUGUAAAGAUUUGGAAUACAAAGUCAAAUAUUAGUAAUAUUAGUCACAUCCUUCUGGACACAUGGGCUCAAUUUCCCACAAAGAAAGUCUCCAAAAAAGUGGAGUCUGUUCUUUCAUUUUAACUUGGUGAUGGUCAAAUAUUGCUCACUCAAUAUAUAGUUUGCAAUUGUAACUCAACAACAACUGGAACAUCAGAAUAUGUCACAGAAAUAGAAAAUCACUGCCAUGCACUUCCUCAAGUAUUGAUAAGAAGUAUUUGUAAUUCUUUAUGCAAGGUGUCGAACCAAAUAAAUGCAAUAAAAUGAUUGGAAAUUUGGUUAGGGUUUGUAAACCAGAGUGAGAAGUGUGGAACUGUUUACCAGUACAGCCAGCAAUUUUCCAAAUGUUGAGUCACUUCAUUUUUAACAAGUCAUUAACUCUCUCCGCUAACCGCAAUGUGGUUAGUUUUUGGCCUUGAUGAUUAGGUAGAUUAAUGGCUCACGUACCCUUCAAACUGUUGGGUUAAAAAUUGGACCUACCUGGGAAAUUGUGUAGAUUUGACGCGAAUUUGGGUUGUUUUGCCCAAAAAAAAAAUGUUUGUUUUGUGCGAAAAUUGGAUCGUUUUUUUCCAACGCACAAUUUUUAAAGGUACAUGGUGAGUUAGAUUUGGCAAUAUGUUAGUUUCUUGGCAUCAACUCUCAAGUGUCGAGCAUCAAGUAGCAUUUUAUUUUUGGCAAACAGUGCUUCGCUAAUUUAGACUAACUGUGUGAUUUUUGUCAACAGUGAUCUGAUAGAAAAACAAUAAAAAUACUAUGUCAUUUUGUUUUGUUUUUUUACAGGCCAUUUCACGGUAUAAUUAGAACAUUCAUGAAUUGCAAGACUUUUACAAGAGUAAGUUGCGUAACGCUCAGUUUUUUUUUCAGGACGUUUUUGGCUAAAAUGUUACCAUUGAUCCUAAAUUGUUUGUUUGCAAACAUACCUGUUGAAGUAUCUCACUAAGUACAGGCUACCUUGUAUGGCACAUGAUUUUAUGUUGACGGUUUGCACGACUUCUUUAUUUGUUUACUAAUGAAACUUUGCAAAAUUAUUCACAAUGAUCCAAUAAUUUGGAUAAAUGAUUUGCGCGGUCGUACAUGAUUUUAACAUGCAAAGAUUCUCUUGCGCCCCCCUGGCAUUUGCAACAUAAUCAUCUUUUUGCAUCAAUUUGUAUUUUUAUGGCUUUUGAUAUACUGUACAAAUAAGGCCUGGCUUUGGAACAUUGUGGAUGAGACUUCACCCAACCAGUCUACAUGUCUCUGAUUCGGUUCAUAAUGUUGACAUACUGAUUUUCGGGGUCAUGAGAGGUUCCCGUCUGACGGCUUCAGUAUCACCUCUGCUUUUUGCUGAUGAUGUGGUUCAUUUGGCAUCAUCAAACCAUAAUCUGUGUGGAAAUGAGACAAGAAAAGAUCAAAUGACUUUAGUUGUGUACAAAUAAUGAAAAAUAAUAAUUUUCAUUCAUUUGUGAGUGAUGAGCAUGAUAAUCGAUUAAGAUCUUAGUAAUUGAGGCAAAAAUGCUACUAAAUCACGCAACUUGGCUGCAAGCAGCAGAGGCGUUGUUGAUUUCCUCUCAGCAUGAAUGUGUUCUGAAGAACAUGUCAGCUUUGGCAAACUGAACUCCACCCACGCUGACCCUCCACUAUGGACAUUUUACUGGAUAGUAAGCAGCAUUGGCAUGCAAACAAGUUUUCAGAAUAUUUAGAGAGAGUUUUUAACACAUUGAAUGAAGAACACCUAAAUUAUAAUCAUUCUCAUUCUCCUCGUAGUCAAUCAGCAAGCUGCUAAAUUGCAGUAAAAUUUCAGUGCGAAUUUGUGCAGUUGGUGCAUGCAGUGGACACAUUGUCAAAACUUGACCGAGUUUUUAUUAUUGAAAUCCUAGAGGGGUGCUGACUGUAAAUGGGCUUGACGGAUGACUGCUGAAUGUUUUCAACUGAAAUCAAAAUAUGUUGUCAUUUGAAACAAAUAUGUCAAAUGCGUCGCAUUCAAUGCUUCCAACACCCUGUUUACCUUCACACCUGAAACACAAGCGCCACCUCCUCUUUGGGUUUUCCCUCACCUUUCCUAAAGCCUGCCAUACAUCAAUACGUUCCUGGAAAUUAUUCUAAGCAUGAAGCUCCUUGAAGCAAGGCAGAUUGACGUAGGUUGUAUUUGAAACUUUCCUGAUCUAAAUUCUCCACUCUUGCCAUCUAUUGACACAUCGAUUAUUGCCAAUUAGCAGUUUUGUGACACAUCCUGUUGCACAUAAUAAGAAUCAAAAGGGUCAAUCGUAAUGGCAACUAAUGUGCACAGAUUCACCAGAUGUUGUGCUCCAUUAUAUUCUCAUAAAAACUUUUGUCAAUGCAAAACAUAAAAAAGAAAGUAGACAUUAUUUCUGAAAGCUUUGUACUGGAUAGACUAAAAAAGGGAAAGUCACGAUUUGCCUGUAGUAUUGUUGACGUUCCUAUUAUUUUAAGAGCAAAUCGACUAUAUCUACCUUUAUUCAUCUAAAAAUGUGUAUUUCUGAAUGAGUUAAGGACUUUUUUCAUUUCUCAUUCUCCAUCUGCUCUUAUCUGUGUUGCACAGUCUGUUCAACUUGUACCAACUUUAACAAACAAAAUAUUAACAUAGUCAUUAAAAUAUGAUUCAUUCCAUAGUUAAGACUGUCAGAGAUGAAAAUCUCUUAAAAAUAGUUCAUUCUGUGUCCAGGCAGUACCCUUGGCUGUGUUAGCAAACAGCAGCCCGCCUGCCCCCACAGUCCCAGCAGAGGCAUCCCAUCCAUCAGUGGGUUCCUCCUGAUGUUGCAAUACUGGUGAUACAGAAUAAUAAAGAAGUACGAAAGACCAGAAAAUCAAUAGAUUAUUCUGCAGAUCACUUGAUUCAGUAAUGAUUCGCUCCAUUUAUUGCCAAUCAUAAGUCCUACUCUCAAGGGCGUAGCCAUCCCACCUCUGCCCUGCUGACGCCUUCACCAGUCGCACUAAUUGUAAAACAGUAAAAGCUAAUCACAGGUCGGAGCAAGGUUACAAAAGACACAUUGUUUGCUUUGUAUAAUCUCAACAAAAAACACACAUAUUUGAUUGUUUUUACAUAAGGUAAAGCUAUAUUUAUGUCAGAAUGACAUAAUACCGGUUAUGACCAACACUGAUAUGAUUACAGUGUUGUAACCUUUUUAUGGUUUUGUAAUAUAUUUUCUCCAUGCGUUUAGACUAGUAGCCUGGUCAAUAGAAUAGAAUAGAAUAGAAUAGAAUAGAAUAGAAUAGAAUAGAAUAGAACAGAAUAGAAUAGAAUAGAAUAGAAUAGAAUAGAAUAGAAUAGAAUAGAAUAGAAUAGAAUAGAAUAGAAUAGAAUAGAAUAGAAUAGAAUAGAAUAGAAAAUCUGCAUUCAACAACAGUACACAACAAUAACUAAACAUAGAAACACAACAUAAUAGAUAAACAAUACUGGUACACAAACUGGAAACGUCAAUAACUAAACAUCUCUUUUUCAGUUCACAGUAAUAUUUGUUUUUACUCAUACUAGUAAUAUACAAAAUAAAUUCCACUUGAUAGUGAGUCAGACUUUUCAGAUGGACCGAAAUGAGAAAUUGCUUGUAAUUUUUGCAUUAAUUCACAUAGCUAUCUUUUAUAGAAAUAUUAAUUGGGUAUUUUCCAUAUAGGAACUGCAUGUUUUAUCACACAGACCUGUUUUUCCAGUUAGCCCUUUUCGCAGUACUGUUGGCCCCGCGCUAACCAAGAAAUAACUAAUAAGCGCAACUGUACUGAGUGUUGACCUCAUUGUCACACUGCCAUGUGACAUACAUAUCCAAUCACGCCUCGCUUAUACUGCAUGUUCUGUGUUUGCAAAUUGCUCAUAUUUGUUUGUAGACAGACACGGUGGAAUACACUAUGAAAAACAUGGACAUAAAAGUUCCGAGAACCUAAAUGACAAAAACUGGUAGACAAAGACCUUUGUAAUUAAUUUUAAGUUUUUAUGAUCAUCAACAAUGUCAAAUAUCACCCCCAAAAAAGUGAGAGUUUUGUGGACACCUAUGAGGAAAGGGCUUAAGACUGCCAAGACAUGUUUCUGUGGAAUGUGUGUCUGCACAUAUAAAAUAUGUACCAUGCAUGACAUUGUACGGGUUUGGGUGUGCACGCAUAUAUGCAUGUUGGUUGAAUAUUUGAGUUGUAGGAAACUUUUUUACCAAGCUGAGAUUUUGAUCAAUGCAGAAGACACAUUGCUUCCACAUACCUCCACUGAUCAAAGUCGAUUUAUUCUCAGUCAAAUUGCAUGAACGAGCCAAUGAAGUGACUUUAAUUGAAUAAGGACAUGUACAAAUGUCUUUUAGCAGGUGGCUGUCUUAUAGAAGUUAACGUUGGUGGCAGGUGUAUGGUAAAUAUAGAUUUUUUUUCUUUUUACAUGGCGGUGGUGUCUUUGGUGAGAUUGUACUGGUGUCGUACCGGCUUUACUGUGCCAACUACAAGUUUGUACUCAAUCAAGGCUUAACAUAUUUAUAUUUUCCUCUGCAUUUCAACACUGGUGCAGCCAGCCACCCAGAGCCAUUUUGAGCAGCAGAAGCUUCACAGAAAAAUGUCUUGAUGCCUCAUAUAUAAAAGGGCAAUAACAAACUGACUGCACCAUAGGGGUGCUACAAAAGCAUUCAAUAUCAAUAUUGUUGCUGUUUGACCAAAUUCAAGUAUCUGCAGUUGUUCACUUUAUAAAUGUAUUUCUUUUAUAAUAAAAUCAAUAUUCAUCCGCAUGUACACGGCAUAUCUUAAAAGUCAUCAGAAGAAGGUUUGCAUAAUAAAAGCACAUUUUAGAUUCAUGUUCCUUCCAAAAGCAUAUACGUAGUAUAUGUAAGGCAGGGUCUGGUCUACAGUUAGUACAAAAUGCCGCUGCAAGGCUGCUCUCUCGGACAAGAAAAUUUGAUCACAUUACCCCAAUACUAGCCAACUUACAUUGGCUCCCGGUCCAUUUAAGAUGUGACUUCAAGGUUCUUCUAUUAACCUAUAAAUCGCUGCAUGGCUUAGCGCCUGCAUAUCUCGUCGACCUAGUUGUUCCUUAUGUUCCGUCUCGUAACCUUCGUUCGCAAAACGCUACCCUUUUAGCGACACCGAGGGCUAAGAAAAUGUCUGCAGGCUCUAGAGCAUUUUCUAUUCGGGCUCCAGAGCUUUGGAAUGCCCUACCAAUGGAUAUUAGGACUGCUACCUCAGUAGAAACAUUUAAGACACGUUUAAAGACACAUUUCUAUGACAUGGCCUUUAACUAACUUGUAGUGGCCGAUUCGGCUGGAGUUUGUUUUCUCUCCCUCUCCACCCCCUCCCUCCCCCCUCCCCGGCCGGGGAGGUGGUUAGGUGGCACCCAUGCUGACAGCGGCUAUCUGGAUUCUCGUGGGCCAAUUCAGGAAAGGGGAACUGCAGCUCAACCUCCUCGAAGAGCACUGCCAGGACAAUUGAGGGCUCCUUCGGCAGCCCUCUGCUGUGACAUGGACAUCCACUUUUUAUUUAAUUGAUUUUCAUGUUGUAUCAUUUGUGCCCUCUCUGCAUCCAUUUCAACCUGGUGAUCCUGAAAGGGGGAUCCUUCCAUCUGUGGUCCCUUCUCAAGGUUUCUCAUUUUCCCCUGCUAGGGGUUUUUAAGUUUUACCUUGCCCUUUUGGGAGCUUAAGAUCAGGGGAUGCUUUGAGAAUAAUUGUCAAUUUCUGUCUAUGUGAAGCCCUUUGAGACUGCUUGUGAUUUGGGGCUAUACAAAUAAACUUGACUUGACUUGA